rnacentral:rRNA from 1 species
UACGAAGGGGGAUAGCGUUGCUCGGAAUCACUGGGCGUAAAGGGCGCGUAGGCGGGAUGGCAAGUCGGUCGUGAAAUCCUUCGGCUCAACCGAAGAACGUCGGCCGAUACUGCCGUUCUUGAGGGAUGCAGAGGAGAUUGGAAUUCCCGGUGUAGCGGUGAAAUGUGUAGAGAUCGGGAGGAACACCGGUGGCGAAGGCGGGUCUCUGGGCAGUAACUGACGCUGAGGAGCGAAAGCGUGGGGAGCGAACAGG